rnacentral:rRNA from 1 species
GGGGGCCUACGGGACGCAGCAGUGAGGAAUAUUGGUCAAUGGACGAGAGUCUGAACCAGCCAAGUAGCAUGAAGGAUGACUGCCCUAUGGGUUGUAAACUUCUUUUAUAUGGGAAUAAAAUGUUCCACGUGUGGGAUUUUGUAUGUACCAUAUGAAUAAGGAUCGGCUGACUCCGUGCCAGCAGCCGCGGUAAUACGGAGGAUCCGAGCGUUAUCCGGAUUUAUUGGGUUUAAAGGGAGCGUAGGUGGAUGGUUAAGUCAGUUGUGAAAGUUAGCGGCUGAAC